rnacentral:lncRNA from 1 species
UGUUUUUUUUUUGUGAUCUCUUGAUGUGAUCGAUCCUGUGGGCGAGUUCCAACAACGGUCACCACUGACUCCGAUCUACCACCGUCCAGUGCAGCACUAAAAUCUCAUCACUGGGUUCAUGAUCAGUGAGGGACGUGGGCAUUAUUUUGGUCUUCUGCCAUUCGAUGGCGCAUUUUAGUAUCUGCACUGCAGAGGUGAGAGUACAAAAUAACAGUUGUGAGGAACACAUGGAUCAGUGUGGCUCUAUUGGUUUAUUAAGAUUUGUAAUUUUGGUGUGUGUUUUGUAUACGAAGUUGUUGUGGAUCAAGUAAUUUAAUCAAGUCCAUUUGAGUCAAUGGAAUUACCGAACGUGUUGUCUUCUUUUUGGCUUGAUCUUGUUCUACUGUGUGUGCUCUGGAUUGACCUUCUUAGGCUUGUUUCUGUGGUGUAGAGAGCCAGGUUUGUCUAUUACUUGUGCUGGUGGCUUUGGCUAUAGGUUGGUGAGUUUAAAGACUGAUGUUUGCUCUUUAGGCCUGGUUUGGCUAUGGUCUGGUUGCCUGCGUGUAGUUCAUGUUUUUCCUAAUGUUUUAGGGUUGCUUUUACUUUCAGUGUUAUUUUCUCUAGUUCAUGUAAUAAGCAGCAGGCAUGUUGCAUGCCAGCGCCACGAGGCAAUGCCAGAAGCGCUAUUCGGCUACAGCAUCACAGCCAAAGGGCGUCCAUCGUGAAGGCAACAAUUAUAUGAAGCAUCACUUCCUGUAGGUCAGGUAGCAUAAUAUUUCAAACAAUGGAAGUAAAUGCAUACAAACUACUCCCUCCGUCCCAUACUGUGUAAAAAACGCUCUUAUAUUACGAGACGGAGGGAGUACAUUAUAUCCCUAACAAAUAAGAGGCAAAAUAGACAGGUGUGGUAAUGUGCGCCAUCAAUGAUGUAGUACACUCUAGAACAGUUGGACAAUUACUAAGUUUAACAAUCAUAUUUUCUGAACCUAUAUUAGGAUAUUUGUUUAACUAAUGAAGUAGAAUCCAUUAUGAAGAUAUUUAUAUAUGUCGUGCACACACACACACACACACACACACACACACACACACACACACCAUAAUUUAUUACCUUUUUUACAUUUGUUUAUGAUUUGUUAUAAGUUGAAUCAAUUCUACAAUAUGCCUCAAACUAAAAUUUGAACAAAAAGGAGACAAUUGCAUGAUUAAUUUUAUCCCAGAUUUUUAAAAGAUUGACAUGUGAUUUUAUAACAAUAAAUUUUGAUUAUUUUACAUACCUACUCGUUUGUGUGAAUAAUAUUGCUAGAUACAAUUGAAACAAAUAGUGUUGAUCAUUGUAUGGCAUAUGUUAUAUUGAUUCAAAAUAGGGUUGAGAUUCAGUGGCAAUUAGAUACCAAGAAGUACAAGUGUUUAAUAUAAAAUGCGGGAUUUGGUGGUCGCCACCUCUCGUUCGUGGUUGAUUUGCGGUACAAAGUGGUAUAUUUUAUCUCCGCUCUACAAAUAUGUUAUAUACUAACAGAACAAGUAUAAUAUGGAGGACGGCGAUUCAAUGCACGGGCAUGUGGCCGGUAUCGUGUGCGUUUGAUCCGGUGUGGGGAUUUGGAAAAAUGCUGACGUGGGACAGGUUUUAGCAGUUGAAAAAUCGCGUAUACAUGAGGAGUCGUAGGAACAGUGAUGUAUGGCGGGACCAAACCGUAGGUGGCAGGCGAGAUUAAUGGGGUGGGCGGAGAGAGGCGUCGAGUCCGAAGUUAUAGGCCGUGGCUCAGGAAUGUGAGGAAAAUCAUUGGCAUGGGGACGGAAUGUGCACCUGAUAGGGUCGGGGGUUGUCGAACUUAAUCAAAACGUGGUUUUCCCGUGUGUCCCGUGCACACCACUAAAGCUACAUAAGUUGUUCUUCGAAAAAAAACUAUAUAAGUUGUUCGUUUCGGUUCUUCUUAGAUGAGCUGGGUUUAUUUUUUGCAAAAAGAUCAGAUUUAUUAUAAAGAUUCCCCACAAAGCCGCCUGAUUGUGCGACGCUGCCGAUUUCAUUUGCUGCUAGCAAUGGGGGUGAUUAUGGGGGUGUUGCUGAAACACCUACCCACCCGAAGUGCGGAAGGUUCGAUCGUGUGUGUGCGUGUGGAAGGACCAUUCAAAGAUGAUCCGUUAAAUUUAGAUGAGAUGAUUCCAGUAAUACACUACCACGUUGUUCCAUCGGCGUCCUCCUCAGAUGCACCAAACGAUCAUCGACGUCCUCCUCCGAGGAGGAUCGCCUGGAGCAAUUAAACUAAUAAGUUGGAACUGUCGGGGUCUCUUGGGAACCCCGACGGUUCUUUUGCUUCUGGACAUCCAGAGGUGACAUAAUUCAGAUGCGUUUUUUCUGUCUGAAACGCAUUUGGAUGAGGAUAGGGCAGCUUGAGAAGGAAAAUGAGGAUGGAUUACAAAAUCGUUGCGCCAAGCCUUGAUGGAAGGAAAGGUGGUUUGCUUUUAGUCUGGAAGAAGGAGGUGAGGAUCUACUCCGGGACUACCACUUUUAGUGUCAUCAAUGUGAUGGUGGAGGAAUCAAAUGGAAGAGAAUGAAGGCUUUAGGGAUUGUAUGGGGAGCCGAGUUGGGAUCAUACGUACCAGCUAAUACUUGCAUGCUCAAUCUAAUCUCCUGUGGGUGGUCAUUGGUGAAUUUAAUGAGAUUCUAUUCUCGACAGAAAAGGAGGGAGGUGCGCCACGGAGCAAGCGCUAAGAUGUGCUUCGAAAGGCACAUAAUCUUCAUCUCCUACAGAUAUCUGCAACAUCUGCUGAUUUUAAUUCCCUGAUGUGCAGUUUGGUAAAUCCUACUCAUCUUUGCUAUCUAAAGCUCGGAGUCGUUAAGGUGCAUGAGGGUUUGCCUCAAGUUUGGAGCAAGUUUUGCCAUCUUCAAGUAUUAGAUUCUUUGUCUGGACGCUGCUGCAGAACAGACUUUGGACUGCAAAUCGACUGCUUGUGAGAGGCUGGAUCAUCAGGAUACUUGCUCCACUUGUGAUCAGGUGCUUGAGUCUGCCCACCACCUGAUAUUCGCCAAGCAGGUCUAGACUGCAUACCAAAAUACGAGACCACUGGCAAGCCAGGCAGAGCUGCACUCAACCUCUGUUGGGACUUGGGACCUGGUGGGAGACGAUCCUGCCUCUCAGGGAAAAAGGACAGGGCACUGAUGAUUGCACCUUCUCAGCUUACGUGGCAUGCAUGGAACCUCUGGAAUGAGCGAAAUCGAAGAGUUUUCAGAAAUCAGCAAAAGAACCCUGUGUGUGUUCGAAGAUUAACGAUGAGAUCAGCCUCUUUGAUGAGGCAUGGGAGAGCAAUAGUUUUUUUUUCUUUUGAACUGUACAGCCAGGCAGCUGAGGCAGGCCUUGCUUGUACUGGGUCUUUUAUUCUUUUUUCAGCUUUUCCUAGUAGCUUCACUACUACUGUAAAGUAUUUCCCCCUCCUUAAAUGAAAAGGCAGAGCACCUGCCGUUCCGGUCAAAAAAAAAUGUCAACUGUGUUGGUCAGUGGAUCUAGCUAGAGCCUUACUGCAGAACACAUGGCAGCAUAGGUAUAUUUGUCAUAACCGAGGUUAGCAUCUGUGGCUGCGUGCUGUUUUACUGCCUCGGAAAGUGGUGCUUCGCGGCCUUUUAGGCGCAAUUCCACCAUGGAUCAUGUCAUGCCCAGAGUUUACAUGCUGAAGUUCUGUUAUUAGUUUCUUGGAAAGUAUAAAAAGCUGAUCUUGUGACAGUUUCCUGGGCUGGCACGCUGUCACGUGAGCGCCUCGUCCUCAUGUAAUCCGUUUUGCUUGCCAUAUCCACUGAAAGCACCGAAAACAAAGUGAUACGUUAUUUACUGAAUCUUGUGAACUCAAACUGCAAACUUAAUCUUUUCAUCUCCUUGACUUGAGAAGGAACUCUGUGGGGACUUUGGUAAUCCCUAGUAAGAUAUGCAUUGUGCAGUCUGCAGUUCAUUACAAGAUUGCGUGAAGAAACAUUUGCAAAACUCCCUCGAUAUGAUAGGCCGUGCAGAAUUUCUCUGUAGCUACACUGAUGCACUUGGUAGGCCUGAACUCAUAUGUUGCGGUGUCUUGAACUGAUAUGUCAUACCUUGAUCCGUCAGAGUUCAGGACGCAUUCAGCAGCAGACGCCUAAUCGAUCUCUCCUUAAAUUUGAAUGUGCGACCCUACUGGUUGCUCACUACGUGGUUCUUGUUCAUUGUGCACUAUGCUAUCUUGUCAUCUUAUAUGGAGUUCAUUUCCUGGGGGUGCUUUGGGAUAAUUUUGCUCCAGGCAUGCUGUCCUUCUUCCGGUGAGGUUUGCAAAAACUUGUAGUAAUGACUUUGUGUUCCCCCGUUGUAAUCUUAAUCGUUUGUUUGUCAUGUUCAUGACUUGCUGGCCGCGUUUGGAAGCCCUGUAAGUACCAUAUUAUAGCUCUGAUCUCUUUGGUUUAUCUAUAAGAUUCAACCCAAAUAAACUCUAAACCGGCUAAGUUUCAACCCUCAACCAUGAGAACCGGCUAAUUUUUCUUGUCUCAGCUUGAACCUUCUUGUUCAAUUCUGCUUCUUCUUUCUUCUUGGCAGUUCUCUCCAAUGUAGCCAACCUUCUUCUCUCUGCAAGCUCAGCUUUCCUCUGUGCAACCUCAUGUUUCCUUUUUGCUAUCUCUGCAGCUCUCUUCAAUUCCUCUUCUCUUCUAGAUGCAAGUAUUGCCUUCUUCCUCUCCUCUACUUCCCUAUCUUUCUGAUUCUUCAUGGCCUCCAAUUUCUGUACCAACUCACCUGGCCUUAUGGUGCUUGAACUAGCUUGGCUCCCUUGGCUUCCAUUACUCUGGUUGAGCAGCACUUGGGCAGCAGUAAGGAAAGCAGAAGCAGGUACUGGCCUUUGUUCAACAACCCUUGUUGUUGGCAUCUACGAAGAAUGUACAUUUGAUGAGAAUAAUAGGAUAUUCAUGUACAAAGAAUGUACAUUUGAUGAGGAGAUCAGUAGUACCUGGGCAAUCAUGUUGUCAACCAUGAGAUCACCACAUGCAGGAGCCACAUUUGUAGGAGUCACAUUGGCACCAACAACACCUUCAUUUGGAGGAGUGGCAUUGACAGCAGCAGUACCUUCAUUUGGAGGAGGCACAUUGACACCAGCAUUACCUUCAUUUGGAGGAGGCACAUUUGAAGAUGGUUGAUCAUUUGGUGGAGGCACAUUAGGUGGUGGCAGUCCAGCCUUCAAGGUCUUGCACCCCUUCCUGUUGUGAUCUGCAUCACCACAAAGAACAAUGCAUAAUGACACCAUGCCUUGUGAUUUUCUUCCCUCCCCUCCUAUGAUCAACCUCUCCAGGUGCCUGUCUCCUUGUAGUACAUGGCCUUCCAACAUGCUUCUGGUACAAUGGUGGCAUUAUUGGAGGCCCAUGUAAGUCUUCCCAUUCACUCCUAUCUCUACAAGGAUAGAUAAUAUUGCCAUAUGCUUUCUUGAACACAUGUUUUGAGUAGCAAUGAUCAACCAUGUUCAAAGGAUCAACUCUAUCAUUCCUGCAGCAGGCUACCACAUGAGAGCAUGGAAUGCCUGCUUUCUGCAUUCUUCUACAUGUGCAGGUUUUCUUGUGCAUGUCCACUAUGUAAUCCAUUCCUCUAUCACCUGCUAGGAAUAAGCCAUCUCCUGAUCCCUCCACAUAGCAUGUGUUUGCAAAUUCUGUUACCUUUUCAACCUUCUUCCUGAUCUUUGGACAUACAUCUCCUUGCCAUUUAUCUGACUCCAGCUGUUUGUUGUAAUGCCUUGUCAUAAGUUGCAUGUAAAUCCUGUCAACCAUGAUCAGUAUUGGUAGUUCCCUUGCUUCCAGGAUAUACCUGCAUUUAACAGCAAACCAUGGUAAGUAUUGGUAAUUCACUACAUUGAAAAGCAUUUUGGCAAACUUCACAAAUGUACCUGUUGAAAACUUCACAAAUGUUGUUAAGCAGAAUAUCACAUUUUGGCAAGUCACUUUGAAAAGCCUUAACCCAAGUUUGUGGUUCUAGCUCAUGCAGCCAUUUGUAUGCCUUAACAUUAAGAACCUUCAUCUCCUCCAUGCCCUGUUCAUACAACUGCACUGUAUUGCUCCUAGCUAUCUUCCAGAGUUGAUUCUUCAAGAUGUCACCUUUGAAAUGUUGUUGAAAGUUUUGCCACAUGUGCCUAACACAAUAUCUGUGUUCUGACUCAGGGAACAGUCCUUCAACUGCAUUGAUGAGCCCCUACAAUUGCAAAGCAACAUAACCAUUCAGAAGCUAUUCACAACCAUUCACAUAGUAAUUACACAUAAACUUUGAAAAAAAAGAUGGUACUUACCUUUUGUUUGUCUGACAUGAUAGUCCAAGGUUCAGUGUUUAUGAUGCCUAGGUCCCUUUUGAGUGUGUCAAGAAACCAUGACCAGUUAGGGGUGUCCUUAACUUCAACCACAGCAAUGGCAAUUGGAAAUAUGCAGUUAUUUGGAUCUACCCCAACAGCUGCAAGCAGUUGUCCUCUGUAUCUAGUUUUAAUGUGGCAACCAUCUAGGAAGAUGACUGGUCUACAACCCUCCAGAAAUCCUCUCUUGCAAGCAUAUAGACACAUGUACAACUUGCUGAACCUAGCAUUUUCAUCUAAUGAAACAUAGAAGGAUGAGCCAGGGUUGCUUCUCCUUACCUCAUUAGCAUAAUUCCAUAGCAGCUUGUACUGCCCUUCCUCAUCACCAUAAAUAAUUUUUAUAGCCAUUCUCCUUGCUCUUUGAAGUUUCAUCCUAGUGGGUGUCAUAUGCCAUUCUUUCUGAACAACCCUUGAGAAAUUCAUCAAGUUCAUAUCUUGAUCAGCCCUAAAGCUCUCUAGGUAUUUCAUUGCUAGGAAUCUUGGUGUGAAAGCCCUAAUCUUCCACUUCUUGCUGCAUGUGUGCUCAUGCACAUAUCUCUUCACCAUGAAAGCCUUAGUUCUGCUAUCAUAUGAUGCCCACAAGUACCAUGUGCAGUCUUCAUCACAUUUUGCUUUCACUCUUUUCCUAUCAUUCACAGGAAGCUUGAUAUCAGCUCUGUUCUGGCAGGAGUACUCUUUAAUUGCUUUCUUAGAAGCUCCACACUCUCAAAAACCUGCCCUACAUGGAAUUUUGGCCUAUGAAGAUCCUCUGGUCUGAAAGUUUUGAACUUUAAAUGCAUUUCCUCAUCAUCAGAAUCAGGUGCCCACAAAUCUUCACCUUCAGACAAGUCUUCAUCUGAAUUGUACUGCUGCUUGCUUUUGUCUUCAUCUGUAGGUUUCACAUGCUUGACUUUCUCCUUUGAAUUGUUCUUAUGGUUCUGUUCUGGUUCAUCCUCAUCAACAUUAUCUGCAAACAAGUCAUCAUCAUCAUUUCCUAUCUCAUUGUCACUGUCCACAAGUACACCUGGGUCAUAGUCCUCAUCAUCUGUAUCACUUGCAUCAUCCUCUGCUUCCAUAUCAUGACUGCUUUUGAUCCUCCUACUUGAUGUGCUUCCUCCAACAUCCUCAUUUGCAACAGCUUCUGCAUCUUUCCCUGCUUCAACUUCAGGGUAUACAACCUGGAGAGGAGUAGGUGCUGCCUCUGGUUCUGCCUCUGCUUCCCCUGUUUUUGCAGUCAUGCUGCUGCCCACUCUUUUUGCAGGACUAAAUACUGGAGGCAAAGUGGCUCUAGGAUAGUUCACAACAUCAUCCUCACUUAGGUUUGCUUGUAAGCUCUCAUCAUGAUCAAGAUAUAUACUAAAGGAGUGGUGCCCAAUAUCAAUAAACAUCAACAUUCUAUCUGUUUGCUCAUCAUCACUAAGCUGCUUGAGACCAUUAUUACUGAGUGUAAGGAUGGUUGACACAAUAGUAUACCUUCAACCUCCCUGCCAUCUCAUAACCAAUCUCCUCAACAAGGUGUUCAAUCAUAAUUGGUGACCAAGUGACCUUCUCCAGAUUAUCGUACCAAAUGGCACGACCAUUAACAUAAGCACGAUUACUUCCAUGCCCAACAAAAAAUCCACCAUGGUUGAUUUGCACAGAGAAGUUGGUGCUUCGAGGGCCUGAUACACAAGACAGAAACAUCAUGCAUCAUAAUUGACUCUAGCAUCAUUUCAUUCGAGUUUCUAAAACCCUAACCCCCAAAGACCAUCAAAUCCAAUACCGAAACCAUCGAAACUACCAGCUGCAUACCAUCUAUAAUGACAAUGCGGGCCAAAAAGGAGUGUCUUUGAACAUCAAAAUGCAAAAAAAGUCGGAUUUAUGCAAGAUGAAACUUACUGUACACGGGGGGAGGCGCCCCUUCUGCGCGACGAACAGGGGCCAUCGCCACCACCUACCACCGGUGGAAUUGACGCGGCGGCGGCGCCUCUCCAGCCACGGAAGAAAUCAGCACGCGGCGGCGCCUGUAGGCCGAUGAUCGCCGGGGCGGCGACGCCUAUGCAGCGCCUUCCCUGUCUCCAAUCGAAGACGAAGAGGCGUCGUCAGAUAGAGGAGCGGGGCGGACAGCGGUGGUGUGGUGGGGCGAUUUUACACUUAAUCCCUCGCCGCAAGAUUGGCCUAAUCGGAGCUGAGAACGUGGCGGUCAACAGGUGGUCAAAGGAGCGGCUACUCACCGCAUACGACCAACAGUGACCGUACAUUCACGUCACAUCGUAUAUAGUGACCGUAACAGCCGUAUUUCUAAGUUCAGUGACUGUAUCGGGCUCUCGUCGCAACUACAAUGACCGUGAGUGUAAGACAAUAAGUUUUGGGGGAACCAGCACAACCCUCUAGGGGUGGCUUAUCUCAUUAUAUAUAAUGGAUGUGUUACAAUAUGUACAAUAUACGUACAUAAGUACAGAAGCUAUACAUAGUCUAACACCCUCCCUCAAUCUUAGCCACUUUCUAAAGAACUGAGAAGGGUAAGAUUGCGCCUACAAGCCUCAAACUGUGGCAGAGGUAAAGGCUUAGUGAAGAUGUCUGCAAGUUGAUCCUUAGAUGAGAUAAACUUGAUCUGGAGUUGCUUCUGUGAUACACGUUCCCGUACAAAGUGAUAAUCAACUUCAAUGUGUUUCGUUCGGGCAUGAAAUACUGGAUUUGCAGAAAGGUAUGUAGCACCGAUGUUAUCACACCAAAGAAUAGGAGGCUGUGGUUGAGACAAACCCAACUCCUGAAGCAAAGACUGCACCCAAAUAAUCUCUGUAGUAGCAUUAGCCACAACCUUGUACUCAGCUUCAGUACUGCUACGUGACACAGUAGCCUGUUUCCGAGCACUCCAGGCGAUCAAAUUAGGGCCAAAGAAUACUGCAUAACCCCCCGUGGAUCGCCUGUCAUCUGGGCUACCAGCCCAAUCUGCAUCAGAGAAGGCCGAAAGGACCCGAGAGGAAGUCGGCCGAAUAUGCAUACCAAAUGUCAGGGUGAACUGAACAUAACGAAGAAUGCGUUUAACAGCAGCCCAAUGAGUAUCUCUGGGAGCCUGAAGAUACUGACAAACCCUGUUAACAGCAUAAGAGAUAUCCGGUCUCGUGAUCGUCAAGUACUGAAGUCCACCAACAAUGCUCCUGUACUCUGUGGCAUCCGCAGGAGACAAAAGCUCACCAUCAACAGCUGUUAUCUUGUCGGUAGACGACAUGGGUGUGGUGGUCGGUUUGCACUUCAGCAUGCCCGCUCUUUGUAACAACUCCAAGGAGUACUUCUUCUGCGUAAGGACAAGACCAGUAGCACGAGAAGUGACCUCAACUCCAAGAAAGUAGUGAAGCUUCCCAAGAUCUUUGACCGCAAAAUCAGCACCAAGAGAGCAGACAAGAGCAUCAGCAGCAUACUGAGAAGAGCUGACAAGGAUAAUAUCAUCGACAUAUACCAAAAGAUACAUAGUGACUUCUGGCUUCUGUAGAAGAAAUAAUGAAGUGUCAGCAGUGGACGGCACAAACCCAUGAGCACGAAGGGCAGAGGCAAGGCGGGCAUGCCAGGCACGAGGAGCUUGCUUCAAACCAUAUAGUGCUUUGGAGAGACGACAGAUAUAGUCAGGACGAUCAGGAUCAGAGAAACCAGGCGGUUGUUUCAUAUAAACCUCUUCCUCCAAAAAUCCAUGUAGAAAAGCAUUCUGCACAUCAAGUUGACGAAGUGACCAACCACGAGAAACAGCAAUGGAGAGAAGAAGCCGAAUAGUGGUAGGCUUGACGACAGGACUGAAGGUGUCCUCAUAGUCAAGACCAUGGCGCUGCCGAAAACCGCGAGCAACAAGUCGCGCUUUGUAACGCUCAAUAGAUCCAUCCGAAUGCUUCUUCACUUUGAAUACCCAUUUUGAGUCAAUAACAUUUACCCGUGGUGGUGGAGGAACGAGAGUCCAUGUCUUGUUACGAAGGAGAGCAUCAAACUCCUGCUCCAUAGCCUCUCGCCAAUGUGGAAUGCGCAGGGCAGCCUGAUAUGAGCGAGGCUCAGAAGAUGGAUCCGCAACAGCAGCAGCCAAACAAGCAGCCAACCAAGCAACCGUACCAUCCUUACGUUCCUUAGGUUUGAAAAUGCCACUGCGACUGCGUGUAUGUGGUCGGGACACAGGAACCACCGAGGUCGACGGAGCAGCCUGCAACGGGCUGGAGGACGGCGACGUUGACGAGUCAGCCGGUGACGAGGAGCCAGACACGGUAGCCUCGGGCUCGGUCGGCGAAGAAGGCCGGCCCACCGGCGAAACCGGCAGAGCAGACGAAGCAGUUGGCGACGCCGGCGUCACAGACCGGGCCGAUGGCGAGCCCGGCAUAGUGGGCUGUGGCGCGGCCGGUGUCGCGGGCCGAUCCGCGGAUGAAGGCGACGUGAGGACGGCGUCGCGGACCCGAGCUGCAGGCGAAGACGGCGUGACGGGCCGAGCCGCGGGCGAAGACGGCGUGACAGGCCGAGCCGCUGAAGACUCGGCGGCCGCUGGCGAAGAGGGCCGAGCCGCUGGAUACUCGGCGGUCGCUGGCGUAGCGGACCGAGCAGUGGAGAUGCUCGGCGCGACGGGCUCUUCGGGUGACCAUGCAUGGGCACGCGAAUCGAUGCCAUGCAACAUAGGGCGAUCGACGUGCCCAUCAGAAGGCGGCGAUGAUGAUGGUGAAUCCUCCAACAGCUCCAAACGAGCCCCACGUCCGGUUCCUACACCAUGGUUAGGUAACAGCAAAGGAGAGUAUGCAACAUCAUCAAAUUGGUCAGAAGCAACAGAGGAUGAAUGCAGAGAUGGUGGUUCGAUAGUGGACACAGGAAGUUUGGCAAAGGGAAAAACAUGCUCAUCAAACACGACGUCCCGAGAUAUAUAGACACGAUUAGUGGGAACAUGAAGACAUUUGUAACCUUUAUGAAGAGAGCUAUAGCCAAGAAAAACACACUUCUUAGAACGAAACUCAAGCUUGCGCUUAUUAUAUGGACGAAGAUGCGGCCAGCAAGCACACCCAAAUACCUUGAAAAAGGUAUAAUCAGGUUGUUCAUUAAGGAGAACCUCAAUGGGAGUCUUCAUGUUUAAAACACGAGUGGGAGUACGGUUGAUGAGAAAGCAUGCAGUGGUGAAAGCAUCACUCCAAAACCGAAACGGAAUAGAUGCAUGGGCCAAAAGAGUAAGACCAGCUUCAACAAUAUGACGAUGCUUACGUUCGACUGAACCAUUCUGCUGAUGUGUAUGUGGACAUGCUAAACGAUGAGCUAUCCCAAGCGACUGAAAGAAGGAGUUGAGGUUNNNNNNNNNNNNNNNNNNNNNNNNNNNNNNNNNNNNNNNNNNNNNNNNNNNNNNNNNNNNNNNNACUGGACAUGAACAAUUUUGUGCUUGAGAAGACGUUCAACAUGUUUUUGAAACUGAACAAAAAUAUCAAACGCAUCAGAUUUGCGUUUAAUAAGGUAAAGCCAGGUAAAGCGACUAUAAGCAUCAACGAAACUGAUAUAGUAAUUAUGACCACUGACAGAAGUCUGAGCAGGACCCCAUACAUCUGAAAACACAAGUUCUAAAGGAUGUUUCACCUCACGACUGGACUACGAAAAAGGAAGUUGAUGACUCUUCCCCUGCUGACAAGCAUCACACACUGCUACAUCUUUAUUACUAGACAAACUAGGAAGCUCAUGACGAUGCAAAAUAUGACGGACAAUAGGUGUGGCGGGGUGACCAAGACGAGCAUGCCACUGUGACGGAGAGACCCGAACUCCACUGAAAACACGGGCGACGCCAGGAUGCUCCAGACGGUAGAGGCCCUGGCACAACCGCCCACUAAGAAAAAUGUCCCUCGUGCCCCGAUCCUUAAUAAAAAGAUCAAAAGGGUGAAAUUCACAAAGCACAUUAUUAUCACGUGUGAGUUUAGGAACUGAAAGAAGAUUACGGGUCACAGAUGGAACUCGAAGAACAUUGCGAAGCUGAAGACUCCUAUUGGCAUGUCUAGUGAGAAGAGAUGCUUGACCAAUAUGAGAGAUGUGCAUACCUGCUCCAUUGGCGGUGUGGAUCUUGUCGGAGCCAUGAUAGGGUUCACGAGUGUGAAGCUUCCCCAUCUCGCUGGUCAGAUGCUCUGUCGCCCCAGAGUCCAUGUACCAGUGUGGAUCGAUGGAGUAGGACUGAGUGUGUCCCUGUUGCUUCUGCGGCGCGGGACGAUCAGCCAUGGCGACCUGAUGGGCAUUGUUGCGUGUAUCUUUGCCGUCAUUGCCAAGACCAAGGAAGCUUCGCUGGAAGCGCUUAUGACACUUGGAGGCCCAGUGCCCAUCGCGGCCACAAAGCUGGCACACACGUGGACCGCCAGCCCCCGGUAAGGUCGCAGUAGGUGGGGGGGCCGAGGCGGGCGACGGUGGCAGCCCCAAGGGAGACCGGGGUGAUGAAGAAGAGCGGCCACCCUUGGUGGCGGCGUUGGCCGAGAGGGAGCCAGUGCCCCUGGAGCGGCGUGUCUCGACCCGUUGCUCAGUGAGAAGGAGCCGAGAGAAAACCUCGUGUGCCAGCAUGGGUGUCGAGUUGCCCCGCUCGUUGAUGAUCUCGACUAAGGCAUCAUACUCCUCAUCAAGACCAUUGACAAUAAACGAGUUGAACUCGGAGUCGGUGAGGGGCUGUCCAAUGGAGGCCAAUGUGUCGGCGAGGCCCUUGACCUUGUUGUAGAACUCAGUGGCAGUGGAGUCAAGCUUCUAACACUCUCCAAGCUGACGACGGAGUGCAUAGACACGAGCCUGGGACUGCGCUGCAAAGGUUCGCUCAAGAAUGGUCCAGGCCUCAUGAGACGUCUUCGCGAAGACAACAAGUCCGGCAACUGCCGGCGAGAGCGACCCCUGGAUGGAGGAGAGGUUCGCCUGGUCCUGCCCCGUCCAGACGCGAUGGGCCGGAUUAUAGACCGGACCGUGCACGCUGUCUACCAGUGCGGGUGGGCAGGGAAGCGAUCCGUCGACGUAGCCUAGCAGGUAGUGACUCCCCAAGAGCGGGAGAACCUGCGCACGCCAGAAGAUGUAGUUGUCGGCGGAGAGCUUGAUGGUGAUGAGAUGACCGAAGUGAAACGGCGGCGGCGAAGACGAUCCCAUCGAGGGGGCUGCCUGGGGUGCAAACACCAUGGAGGCAGCCGGAGGCACCGAAGCCGAUGCGGGAGGAGGCGGGACCGCAGCCAGGGCGGACAUCGCAAAGCUCGCGGCCGGGUCGGACACCGCAAGGCCCGCGGCCGGGGCGGACGCCGCCAACCCUGCCAGCGGGGCGGUGUGAUCCGCUUGCGGCAGGAGCGGCGGGACGACGCCCGCGGAGUCCGCAGCGGACGGCGGCGCCGUGGUGUGGACCACGAGGUCGCGCCCAAGCGAGGGCGCCGGCGGCGUGGAGUAGACGGAGCCGAUGCUCCUGGUCCCGAUCGGAGCCGGAACGGCGACGGCAUCGAGCGGGAGGUUGAGCAGAGCCGCAAGAGAGGCCGGGAGGAACCCCGCAGCAGUGGAACCGGUGGUGGCGGCGCUCGACAUGGCGGCGGUGAAGGCGGCGGCGGCUGCGGCUGCGGCGGCGGUGCGGGUAUUAGGGUUUGGAAGCGGAAGCGAUCGUAACCUAGCGUGAUAACAUGUAAGACAAUAAGUUUUGGGGGAACCAGCACAACCCUCUAGGGGUGGCUUAUCUCAUUAUAUAUAAUGGAUGUGUUACAAUAUGUACAAUAUACGUACAUAAGUACAGAAGCUAUACAUAGUCUAACAGUGAGGGUAUUUAUCUCCGAAUUAAAACUCGGGUUGAUUCCAGUGUCCACUGCAUGCAUCGAUCCCCGAUUUGAUCCCCGCACGUCGUUAGUCAUUACUCGAUCGGUUGGUGAUCGACUUUGCAUCGGCUGGUGGUCGAUCGCAUCGUCGUAGGUUCCACGCCGUACAUGCCCUUUGCUAGGGAGCCUACAUAAGUCAGAGCGUAACUGAUUCUCCGUCUUUCAUUUCCGCGAGUGCGGUGCGCCAGCCGGGCAUUAAUAUACCAGUGCAACAAGAGUUGGAGCUCGCAGCGUGGAUUGGCCUGGCUGGUUACCAACUCUUAUAGCAUCUCCAAUGCCGAAUCUCAAAUCGCUCGUCAUCGUCUAGACCGAGCUGUCUAAAGGGCAUUUUGUCAAUCCAACGUGGCACCUCAUCGGUCCAUAGAGUAGUUCAAACGUCUACUUUUCCACAAGCGGACGCAAACCAGGGGCUUUGCGGGCGUCUAGACCGCUGCCACGUACCCGGCCGCCAACCCGGUCCCACCCAAAUCCUCUCCCACGCCCGCACACUCUAACCUGCAAAGCGGUUGCCGCGCAUUCAUGCCGGUCCAGAGUGCCAACGCCUCAUGCAGGCCGGCCUAGAGCGGAUACAACCUCUUACUGCAGCAGCAGUUAUUGAAGCGGCAUGUCAGCAAAAGGCGUUGCCUAUUCUCCGUGCAUGUUCCAAUACCGGAGACGCGUGACCUGGCGGGGCUGGACGACUGUGCACCGCAUUCAAACUGGAUCUCGCUCAUCUUCUUGUCAGCAUUAAACUGGUGCGGCAGCAGAGAAACCUACUCCGGCACCCGUAUUGGAACACCACGCCACGUGUCCCGAAUGGUGUAGCUAUUUAAACGCUGCCUCCUCCCCUUGCACGACCAGCACGACCACACCACGUCAUCCAUGACCACGAGCUGUAGACAUAUGUGGGAGAGCCUCAUGAUGGAGUAGAAGGAAGAGUUGGCCUGCAUUGGGGCCGACCGGGUGGCCCGUCGUGCGCGACAGACUGAGGAUGGCUUGCCAGCUAGCUCGUCGGAGGUUAGCGAAGAGGAGGCGUCUGACGAUGAUCUGAUGCCCUAGCCUGCGUAGUUGCACUUCAAUGUCAUUGUGGCUGAAAAGCAGCCAGUGUCACCUGUCACGGCGUCCCAACAGGAACCGGGGACGGGGCAGCACUACACCCUCUGGCUCCUUGACGAGCACCGGAUCGCGGGGGCGGGGAGGGGAGGCAAAUCAUCGACGAGCAGGCGAAUGACGAUGUCAUCAAGGCAUGGUCACGGAGGAACCGAGCUUCUUGGAUGAGCAGUGGGCGUUGGACAAGUUCAUGCGGGAUUGCAACUGCGUAUCCAGCGGGCGAACAUAUAUGCCUUGUUCACGGAUAUCGACGCGGUGGCAGAGGAAGAGGUUGCGCAGGCAACCGCGGACAUCGCUAGCUCCGCAUCGGCCAUGCCACCACUGCGGUUCGCGCCCCGCCACAAUGACCAAGACCCGACCUUGCACGUCCAGUGCCAUCGAUAUGGCGGACAACGGCAUGGAAAAGUAGAACAUGGAAGGCCACCAUGGCUUGAGUCCCAGGAAGACCACUGCCCACGUCUUGUCGGGGAUCACAACUCGUUAGCUUGUCGGACAUGGUGAAGACUGCCAUGGGAACGGACGCCACUGUGGCUGGCGAUCAUUUAGACUAGGUUAAAAAAGUCUAGUCCGCUAUAGUUUAGUUGAAAUAUGGUGAAAUGUAAUGAUUUUGAUCCGAUUUAGAUGAAAAUCAUCCAGUUUGCAUGAAUGUUAUCUGGUUUAUUCAAAUUCACUUCAAAAAUGUAUGCGGGAACGGUUGGAUAUCCGGCUCCCAUAUCACUUUUUCCGGACGCAUCUGGGCGCGUCGGCAGACGAUUAUUGUGUCCUUUUUAGGGGUUCGCAGUGGAGCUGCCCUUAUGUGGCUUUUAUAUUCGUUCCAAAGGGCCUUUAGAAGGAAAACUAAUGUCUCCAGAGUAAAUGUGCACAGUCAGGUUUCAUAAGCUGUAGCAUCAUUUCCUCUCCUGUUUCUCUCAUUUACUUUGUUGUUUAUAUCGCUCCAUUUAACAUCCAAUUUCAAAGGAAGAUGACACAAACUUUUAGGUGUUGAGCGUCACACAAUUUCACAAAAUUUGCAAUACAUUAAUCUCAAAAUGUCAAACUCAAGUCCAAAUGUGACUACAUAUAACCAUGCAUAGAUAGUUUCCGAAUGUGACAUAGACAUGGAUAGGUUCUAAGACAUACUGCAAAUAUCUAAGGACGCAAUGGGACGACAUAGCAUGGAUUGUGCUCGUCAUAGGAGUAGGAGAAAGAUAUUUCCAUGAUCAUGGCGGCAGCCGCCUGGGCAGCCCUCAUCCGUCCAUCCCGCUUGGCCCAGGCGGCGGUCUCGAAGGUGUAAGGCUCUGUUGUAUCCUUGAGCAUAUGCUCAUGUUUGGCCAAGCGUGGGCCUUAGUGGUGGAAGUGGAGGCCUCUAUCGCCUUCUGGAGCCUCCUCUCCUCUUCGGCCAUGGUCAUGCCAUCCUCAUUGGCCGACUCGACGAGAUUAUCCCAAGUGAUCUCGUCAUGGGAGUCCUGGGGAGGCAGGAGGGCCUGGACAUCAAGGGGAACUGAAAAGUGCACCUAUUGCCUUUAGUAGGUUUUGAUGAUAUAUGAUAGCUUGAUUAACAGUACUAAUGUUUUCUCUCAGUGUUUAUCAUCUUAUGUCCCAAAAGAUGCGAUUUCAUAGUAUUUAGUGAUCGAAUAUCACUUUGGAUCCAAAGACAUGCCAAUAUUAUCAAAGGGGGAUUCAGGUAUGUGUGAUAAAGUUUUUUUUGAAAGUUCUUGAAGAUCGGACUUUGAAAAGGUCAGAAGUCUCAUAAAAUCGAGUAGGAGUGAAAUCGGAUCAGAUUCAGACGGAUAAUGUGCAUGCCAUACCCUAUUCUGUUUUUUGGAUUUGAAAGCAAGACAAAUGUGGUAUGGAUGCAGAUUCGAAUACCGGAUUAUGUUGGAUUCAGACAUGGUACGGUGACAAAUCGGACACAGAUCAGAAACAGACAUACUACAUGCAUAUAUGACGAAUAUAUACAUGCUCUAAACUAAAAUUAUACAUAAAACCAAAGUAAAUAUUAGUAAUUAUACACUUAACACAUAAAGCACUAGAAGGUACUAAAGUAAUCCAAAUAAAAUAUAAGAAGCACAUAUCUAAUGUCAUAAGCAUAUAAAUACAAGUAUUGCUAGUUAAUAUUUAAAACUGUACCAAUUAAUUAUAUAACCAUAUUUAAAAGUUUGGAUUAUCCAUAUAAAAAGGAUUAUCAUAACCAUGGCAUAUUAGUAAGGGCAUCUCCAAAGCGUACCCUCAAACCUCCCCUAUAUGUCCUGGCCACAGUUCUGGAACACUUUUGUCAUCCAAUGGGAACCUAUAUAUGUCCGCUGAGCAGUCCGUACGUACGAAUUCCGGCAUCCUAGUAACAAAUGUGGAGGGGGAGGGGGGUUUGCCGGAGUCCGGACAUGCACUUGACCAACACAAAGCCUCCGGUCUUCCUCUCUUUUCUCUCUAUCUUCACAUGCAUGGCCCCCCUCCCCUCAUUCUCUUCCGAACCAGAUACCACACCACAAUAUCCCAUCAAAAGUAUCUGCAUGCAUGGUAUCCCCUUUUUGUCUCUCCUCCCAACCGGACAAAUAUAGAUUAAUUUGUGAAUAGCGUUGGAUGGCUCACAUGAAAAUCAUAGAUUAACUUUAUCAUAAGCUUUCUCAUACUGAAUUAUAAAAACCAAGCAUCUCUGCUUCGAAGUCAAAAUGGAAUGCACGGUGUUCCUCGUAAUAUUGCGUCUUCAUGGAAAAUGACAACGGUUGGGAAAGGGUGUACUUCGCAAUUGAUUAUAGCUUGAUUCAUACAUAGUAACUUCUUACAAAAAUUGGCAGAAAUAUUACAAACCUUGGUAAAGAAACACCAACACCCACACACUUGUCUGACACACUGACCCCUGACCCUCAUAACACUUAUUCUGAAGUCAUUAUGCAAAUAUUGAAAAACAGGGUAGGGAAUGAUAAAAGGCUAAACCAACCGUGCAUGCGGCGAUCAUAAAUAGCAACGUCACCCAGAGCACGAAACCAUGGGGAUUUCAGUGCUGGCCCGGAAGGUGGUAGAGACUGGAUCACUGGAGUCAGUGGUGUCCAUGGUAUCCACCGCCACCGCCACCGCCGUAGGUGGGCAUGGGAGGGACGGGAUGGUAGUCUGGGUGGGGCUGCGGCUUCGGCUCCGGCUUGGCCGCUUGGGCACGGGGUGGUAGUCCGGGUGAGGCUGGGGCUUGGGCUCCGGCUUCGGUGGCACGGGCUUCUUGUGGUGGAAGUGCUCGAUGAUGUGCUUCUUGAUUGUCCCGCACAGGGUCAUGGACGCACACUCGAGCGACGCCACGGAUGGCGUGGCGGUAUUGGCGCCGGCGAUGACACCGAAGGUGGUGCCCUCGGACACCGGCACGAUCUUGGAUGGCUCCUGGCCAGGGCACGGCGCGUUGGAUGCGGCGCUAUGGAGCUGAGCCAUGCAGUCGGCGCCAUGGAGGUCAGAAGCGAGGGGCACGCUGAAGGCGCCGGUGCCGUCGAGGGCACCCACCGCCUUGCUUGCUCUCGUAGUCGCCGUAGACGUUCUUGCACCUGAUCGCCACCUGGAGACCUGAGGUACGUUGACGGCAGAGGACAACCAUGAGCCGAUCUCCAUCUAUAUAGGUGUGUAUUUCGGGUGUGUAUAUAGUAGUAGUACGAUUGAGCUGCAUAUGUAGCUUACCCUUGAAGGCUUCCUCGGCCUUGAUGUUCUUCCUGGUGCAGUCGGCGCACUUGGCCAGACCGACGACGACGGACGCCGCCUCGGCGUUGGAAACGGCGGUCGCCAGGAGGACGGUGAGGACCAGUGCUCUCGUUGGAGCCGCCAUGUUUUUUUUUAGAAUGAAGGCUCGCGAAGAGCCCGACUUUGAAUUAACAAAACCAUCAACUGGCCAGGAAUUACAGACAAACAACAGACCACAUCGGCCCAACAAUACAAGGGAGCAUUCUAGGGAGCUUACAACUCAACGCCGCGCACAAGCUUGAAAGAAAAAUUAAAACAAAGCCCAUAGCUUGCACUAGCAGAAGACCGCAACAAACAGUACCGAGGGAAGCGACCAUCAAGCAGGAUUGAGGACCUGCUAAAACAGAGUGUGGGCAUGAACUGAACUGACGCCCAGGAUGAAGAGAUCGAAGCAUCUUCCUCCUCUCGUGCCGCCAUGUCUGAACCCGUGAAUCGAACUCAGCUUGCCUGUGUGAAGUGGCUGAUGGAUGAAUGGAUGGAACAGGCGACGCAUGGCUUUUAUAGGCCGCCGCAUUGAUCGGCGCAGCUCGAUGGGUGGUGUGGUGGCCGGCGAAGUGAUGCGUGACAACGAGAGGCCGGCUAACUCACCGAAAUUUCAGAUGGCGAGUUGAAUACCGCGCCGGCUGGAUGAUCGGAUCGGUCGGUGCGUGUGCCUCCACGUCGCUAUUGGUGAUCAACUUGGUUUGGUGGUGGAGUACGUAGGUAGGCACGGGCCGCGUCUCUCGGCAUGCACAUGCAUUUGCGUGAGUGCGUGCAUGCAUGCAUGCAGCGUAAGUUCGUAGUAGUACCCUGUUUGCUGGUGGUAAGCUGGUGUUGGAUCGACAUCAAAAUUGCUGUAAAGUGUAUGUCCAUUUUGGGGAGUAGGGAGCUUGCGGUACAGUACCAGUGAGCACUGCUUUGUUGUUCACAAGUAGAAUGUUGUGAAAAUAUGAGCAGCUUUCAGUUAUGUUUAAUCCACGAAAAAACAGAUAGAAGAUGAUCAACAUAUAGUUGACAUGAUAUUCCAACAAGAGAAGUUGGUAAACAGAACAAAAGAUCGAAGGCUAAUAGUUCAAGUUCACAUGAUCCCAUACAAGGUUAGAUUUGAUCUUACCAACAACAAGUUGCAUCGGAAAAAGAGUUGCUGAAGAUCGUGUUCUUGAAGUCCCACAAACAUAACCCUCGAACUAGAACUGAACAUACAGCCCCUCUAUGGAUCGCACCCUUAGUAUGAAACCAUCGAAUUCGAGGAUGUAGCCAAGUGCUAAUUUCAAAACGGUGUAGUGUUCAUGGUUUGAGAGUUCCAGGUCUACUUGCUACUCGUUCUAUGCCACAAUAUUUUUUGGCGAAAAAUUUAUUUUCAUCUUUUUAUUCCACUUUUUGACAAGCUAGUGAAGCCAAAAAUAACCUAACAUGUUAGGAUUGACAACCUACACUUAACUAUCAAGACUAGUGGGUGUGGAAGACCCUAUAGUCAUUCAAAAGUAACAAGUACACUAGAACUCAACCUAAUUCAUAUCUCCAAUAGAAAUAUUGAACGUUGUAGUAUCAUCAUUCAUCAUUAAGACACGCUGAUCGUAGAUAGAUAGUUCCUCCCAUACUCAUGGGGAGCUUUUUUGCAAUUUACGUAUUAUGCAAACUGAAAAUAAACUAACUCAAUUUUGAGGAAAGUAAACAUAUGAAAACGGUAAAGAUGUAAGGGCUUAUAUAUGAAUCUCCCCAAGCUUAAGCACUAAACCGGCAGGAUCUAAUAAUCCCUCUCAGUCGAUGGUACCUCGGGGUUUCUUCUCCCUUGUAGUGGAAGUGUUGUAUGCAAGGGCCUGAUGGAACAACUCAUUAGUCUUCUCUAGGUCAGCGAUGUGAUGUUGGUUCAUCCGCACAAUUUCCUCUAGGUUGGCAGUGAGGCAGGCGUUGAGAGUGGACUACUGGACUUAGUGUCCUCAACAAUCUUUUUCUCCAACUGCCUGAGAUGUUCAUGCAAAGGAUCACGGUUGAUGGGUGACCCAUUAGCAUGUACCUCAAGCCAACGAAUGUGCUCGUUGAUGUUGAUAGGAUGCGGCUUCCGUGCAUAAUUGGGGUUGACGGGGUACUUCUUCUACCAUGCUCUAGGAAGCUUGACAGAUAUAUGAGCCCCAAUAUUGAUCUUCUUGCCGGUGGUGUGGUGUGACAAGUUUAUUGAUAGGUACCCUCCAACGAUAUAUGGAUGGUAUGGCCAUCCACGACGGUUGGGGUACCCUCCUUGGGGACUUCUUCCUCAGAUGAGCUAUCUCCACCUUGAUCCCACAUUCGCCAAUCAUGCUUGAGACCUCGUCCCAACGCAUCGGGAGAAGCGUCUUCCAGCUCGAAAUCCUCCUCGUGGAAUGGGCUUGAUCCAUGUGGUGGGCAUCCGCCGGCUGCAAAGGCGACCCUCCUCCUCCUGCGAGGUCAUCUGGCAUUCGUCCCAUGAGCGUGUCAUGGCCUAAGAGAUGCUUGCCUUUACAUAAAACUUAAUAUGCAACUGGAAUAGAUUGGUUUGUCAAUGGCUAAAGGAGAGCACUCCCCAAAGGUAUAUAAAGACGUAAACCCGUCAAAUAUUCAUGAGAUUAAUUUUUGGAAGAAGAUUAGGAAAUAACCAAAGAUUUUCGGGAAAGAAUAAGGUGUCGCCGCGCGAUCAGAAGAAAAGAAGUGGCGUGGUACAAGCGAUUGCGCUCAUACCAACAGACCACCGUGUCGGUGCCCUUCGGGCAAUCGCCGCUCUGGCCCACCCAGUACAAGGCACCUAUCUACUUUGCCACCAAUCAAUACGAUCAACCCGGAGUGCAGCAAUCAUCGCAGUACUCAAUUGCAUCCUUCAUCUCCGGCCACCCUCCACUCUACAUCAUCGACCACAACAAUGACUACAUGUUCACCGAGUCGCCGACACUCGUCCAGUUGCGGCUUCCGUCCAAGGAGCCCAUGUCCGACGGUGCCCAAUCACUGUUUGGCGGAAUGCCUCCCCUAAGCUCGAUGGCGGCGACUGAGCAACGAGGCAAUGAUGAACAUGAUCCUUAAUGGUGACGGCCAUGAAGAUGUACAGGUCUAUGAUGACUACUUACCGCAUCCGGAGCAAGAGACGUUGACGGACACCCGGUAGUCAUCGGUGCUCGAUGCGGACAGAAAUAAAAAGAGGGAUUUGGCGUACUCGAACAAGGAGGAUGAAUUAUUUUGUUUGAUGUGGUUAGGCACAAGUGUUGAACCGUUUCAAUGUACGGAGAAAAAGGGCUCGGCAUUUUGGCAAAGUGUGCACGAUUGGUUUCAUGGGAAAAGCAUUAUGAGCCCUACAACAAGGAAGUUGCUAAGCCAACAAUGGUACAUCAUUCAAGGGGCCAUCAACAAAGUAUCACGGUCCGUAUGCACAAAUAGAAAACUAGUGACUAAGUUGUGUGUCAACACUCCUUGAGUUCGUAACUUUUCUUCGUGAUGCUCUAUGUGUUGGUCAUUUGAUUGAUUUUCUCUAUGUUGCAACUUGUUGAUCAUGUCAUUGUAUUGCUUUGCUAGCCCGGACGGGUAGCCAUGUUGUACCACAAGAUUGAGGGCAAGCCAUUCAUGAUGAUGCAUUGUUGGUACAAGUUGAAUGCGCAAAGCAAGUGGAGCAGCAUUACCAAUUCUCUCAAGACCACCAACCCAAAGCAAGUGAUGAAGGUGGUGAUCCAAUCGGUGCAAUUUCUAGGAGGGCUUGCACUAGCCACCCAUGUGGCUAGGUCAACGGGAAAUAAAUGGGUGAAUGAGAAAGGAAGCGAGAAGGAGUGGCGGCCAAGACGACGGGGAAAUUAUAGGACAUCAUGGCGAAGUAAGAAGAGGCAUGUGCCAAGCACAAUGAGAUCAUGGAGGAAAUUGUUCGUGGAAAUCCAAAAGAAGAAGAUUGAGUUUAAGGAUAGGAAGCUUGCGGUCAAGUAAGUGUGUGAGGAGCAAAAGGUCUAGUACAUGGAGGCUGAUGACUUGGAUCACGACGCGGCCAAGCUUGUUCACGACUUGCAUGAUAGCAUGUACACACGCCUUGUGUAAAAGGAGAGGGGAAAGUAGGCCAAAAAUUGAGGCAUUUGAUAUGGACAGCCGGUUCAUUGCUUUUGGGGUCGAUAUAUAGAUGUACAAAACUUAUUGAGUAUCCGAUGAUUUUGCUAUUGGUUACAUUUUUUUGCAACCAUUUAAAUGUAUGAUCGAAUUGUUAUUGCUCUAGAAAAUUUGACAAAGAGAGAAGGCCCGACAAGUACCUAGGACAAAAUUUGAAGGACACAAUUGCAUGACACAUCCGUGAAGGACGCAAUUGCAUGACACAUCCGCCCGGACGGAUGUUGGCGGACAGGGAAAAAUGAAUGUACUUUUUUUUUGCGGUUGAAAAAAAAUGAAUGUACUUGAUUGAUCAAGAUAUAAUGAUCGAGUAACUUUUCAUUACCAAAAUUCACACCGGUAUUACAAACCUUGGGAAAAAAUGGCCCAUGACCCAUACAUUUGCCUGACACCCGUACUUAUCCCUCAGAACUGUUAUUCUGAAUGAUAGAAGACCAAGCUAACCCGUGCACAUAUAAAUAGCAACCUCAUUCACUCACUGACAGCAACAAGCCAUCUCAGUGCUGGGCGGGAGGGUGGCAGAUCGGAGUCAGUGGUGUCCGUGGUAUCCACCGCCACCGCCACCGCCGCCGCCGUAAGUGGGCGUGGGAGGGACGGGGUGAUAGUCCGGGUGGGGCUUCGGCUUGGGUUCGGGCUUGGGCACGGGGCCAUAGUCCGGGUGGGGCUGGGGCUUGGGCUCCGGCUUGGGCGGCACGGGCUUCUUGUGAUGGAAGUGCUCGAUGAUGUGCUUCUUGAUCGGCCCGCACAGGGUUGCGGACGCGCACUCUGGCGAUGCCACCGUGUCUGUCUUGGCGCCGGCGACGACACCGAAGGUGGUGCCCUCAGACACCGGUACGAUCUUGGAUGGCUCCUGGCCCGAGCAUGGCGCGUUGGAGGCGGCGCUGUGGAGCUGUGCAACGCAGUCGGCGCCGUGGAGGUCGGCGGCGAGGGGCACGCUGAAGGCACCGGUGCCGUCGAGGGCACCCACCGCCUUGCUCUCGUAGUCACCAGCGUUGUUCUUGCACUUGAUCGCCACCUGAAGACCUGUUGUACAUUCAUGGCAGAACAACAGUGAGCAGAAUAACAUCAUGCCUUUACAAAGUGGAGUAUUCUAUCAAAUCUAGCUAGCUAGCGCUUACCCUUGAAGGCUUCCUCGGCCUUGAUGUUCUUCAUGGUGCAGUCAGCGCACUUGGCCAGGCCGACGACGACGGACACCGCCUCGGCGUUGGCAACGGCGACCGCCAGCAGGACGGCGAGGACGAGUGCUCUCGGAGCUGCCAUGUCUGAACCUCUACCACUUGCUUGCCUGUGUGAAGUGGCUGAUGGAUGGAUGAAUGGAACAGGCGACGCAUGGCUUAUAUAGGCCUCGACAUUGAUCGAUCCAGCUCGGCCGAUGAUCUGGCUGCAUGCAUGCUCGAAGCACGAAGGGGUGUGGUGGGCGGCGAAGUGAUGCGUGACAAGGAGAGGCCGGCUAACUCGCCGAAAUUUCAGAUGGCAAAGUUAAUACGGCGUCCGCUGCAUGAUCGGAUCGGUCGGUGCAUGUGCGUCCACGUCGCUGUUGGUGAUCGACUUGGUUUGGUGGUGGAGUACGUAGGUAGGCACCGGCCGCGUCUCUCGGCAUGCACAUGCAUUUGCGUGCGUGUGUGCAUGCAGCGUAAGUUCGUAGUAGUAGUACCCUGUUUGCUGGUGUUGGAUCGACAUCACAGAUUGCUGUAAAGUGCAUGUCCAUUUGGGGAAUAGUGAGCUUGCGCUGAACUGCAAAAACGGCUUACAUUAAGUCACAUACUUCCUCCGUCUAGGUGUUAGGUUGUGCACCGUGAUGAAGGCAAAGAGAAAAACGAGAGAACUUAAUAUUUAUUUGAUAAUUAAUAGCAUUGCAUGCAAUAAACUGAACCAUUGCAUGUCGUGUUUGCAAGUCAUUGAAAGCAUACACAUCACACAUCUCUUAUUGCUUGAUUCCUUUAUUUAUGUCGAGAAACAGAAAUAAGGUGAGAGUUAAUGCACCACGCCUAAGUGUUUUGAGAUUAUUUAGUUUUCAUAAGGCUACUCAUAGUGGGGAGCAUCAUAUACUAGUAUCAUGCAUAUGAUACUACCUUCAUAGUGAACAGUAUCAUAGAGUAGUAUCAUAGAUGAUCUUGUUUAUUUCAUGCAUAACACAAAGUAGCAUAACAUUUAAUAUAAUACAAUAUAUAUCUAUGUUAAUCUAGCCCUCUCUCUCUCCUUUAAUUCUCGGCGACAUCAGCGUGUUUGCUAUUCCCAAGUGCAUGAUACUAGCUAAAAUACCACCAUUAUGACCAGCCUAAGAUGACUUGUAUACCUAGACACAGGGAGUAGGGAGUAGAAUGUGUUACAUAUGAGCAGUUUGUAAUUAUGUUUAAUCAAAGAAAAAACAUAUAGAAGAUGAUCAAUAUAGUUUACAUGAUAUUCGAACAAGAGAAGUUUCUUUUUACUCGGUACAGACGCAGACGCUUAUACAUACGCAUAUACACCCACUUCUAUAAACGCAAGGACGCACACCAUACCCCUAUGAGAACCUACGAGAGAUUGAGUUGGCACAUCAUCUUGAGUUUGACGCCAUCGUAGUGAACGGGAACGUCUCCUCGCACUGAACGCUCAUCGUCAAAAGGCCUAAAAUAAAAUCAGGAAAAUGCGAGCACCAAUGUUAAGUCUAGGACUUGAACUCUGGUGGGAUUUGUAUACCACUGUCCUCAUAACCAACCGACCACAGAUUGGUUCGCUCGAACAAGAGAAGUUAGUAAGCAAAACAGACAUGCUAUUCAACGGGUAUGGUAAACAUGGCAUGUACAGAUCAAAUGCUAAUGUAGUAAGGAACUGGAAGUAAUCCCUAAUGCGAAUGAAGAAGAGUUCGCAGUCAGCGCAUCACCGACGGUUGACAUGGCCUGGAGGGAUGGGGAGUCGUGUCCGGGAAGUAGUUUUCAUUGUAUGUCGCAAUGUCGGUCGCAUGAGAUCUCUCCCAGAGAUCAUGAUCUCCUCUCUCGCUCUCUCAUACAUGAUCACAAUAGAUGGGGUACCGGAGUCCUGUUGUUCUACAUUGUGGUGCAUGAAAGUGGAAUGGAAAGACGCGCGGCACAGAUCUGGAACUGAAGAAUGGUCUCAUGUACAUUUCUAUGUGGCCCCAUCUAUUUGCAGAGGAGCAACCUCUAAUAGGCUCUAACAAACGAAACAAGUCCACUAUGGAUGAUUCUGAGAUGAAGAGUCUACAAAUGUUCGGUUUCAUCUUCUACUAGUGCAAAAUAAUGUUUUCAAUCAUGUCACGCACGACAAGAGGAGUGACAGACAUGUGACAGGUCAGAGUCCAGCUCGUUCACGAAACACAAAGCGCGUCAGGCUAGGUGAUGUCAUGCAAAUGCAUAGAGUUUAGUUGUAGUUGUUUUCGGAGUAAGAGUAUUGAUCCCACAAAGAGCUGAGGAAAUGGUAUUUUACCCCUUGUAGAGGUUUAUCCGAAUUUGCCUGCAAGUUAUUUUUAGGUCCCAAGCAAAAGCAGUGUGAAAGGUGAAAUAUUGCAAGAGUGUGUGUGUGUGUGUGUGUGUGUGUGCGCGCGCGCGCGUGUGUGUGUGUGUGUGUGUGUGUGUGUGUGUGUGUGUGUGUGUGAGUGAGUGAGAAAGCAAGAAUUAAAGUGCACAAGAAUAAUGACUAAGAACAAGAGAGUAGUGAUAAUGAUAAAAACUCCAGUAGGGCUAAAAGGCGUUCUAUGGAGUCUAUGGAGUCUGUAUUCACCACUUGUAUUUAUUAUACCUAAUUGUGUAGAAACGCAACCUUUGGUUCAAAUACGUGAUCCAUGUUAUAUAUGUAUUGUGUGGGGAGAGCCAAUAAAAAGAUACGUGCAUAUUAGCGCAGUUCUGUAUCACGCACACCAUCACUGUCGCACCAAUGCAUAUCGGCAGAGUACAAUGGUGAUUGAGAGUCUCUUCAACGAUGUGGAAUAAAACACAUGAGUCUCCGUUGUUCCCUUACCAAUGAUUCGGUAAGGAGAGAGAGAGAGAGUUUUCAUCACUGUUGUACCUCUAACCCCACAUCACAAAGAUAAUAAUAUCCGUCAAGUCCCGAUGGGCUAAAUAUUGUGCAGUCAAUGUUCGCACAAUAUCAUGAAGAACAUUAACACGAUUAUAUAACAAAGAUUGUAUAUAUUAUCGUCAUUAGGAUCAUAUAAAUGCUAGUGCUCCCAUGUGUCCACAAGAACUGAUGAAUUACUCUGACAUAGAGGCACAAGACAUCGACGAGGUGUCCAUGGCAAUGGAAGAUGAAUUGUUAAUGUAACACACGUAUAAAUCUAGACCAGGGUUUGGGAUUACAAGAAGAUGAAUGAGGGAUAUUCAAUGUAAAGUAUGUGGAUGAUGUUGUUGAUGAUGAUGAUGGUUGAUGUUGUGGUCUCGGUGGUCGAAGCUUUGGCGAGGUGGUGCCCUUCUGCUGAUUGGCACUUCGGAUUCCUUUUGGAGAUGAGGUUUUCUGCUUCUAUUCUAUGGUAUGUGAUCUCUCUGUUUGUCACGUCCGAGAUCCGAUUGCACGGGGUGGAAGUACUCCAACAGGGAGAGGUGGCACCGUGCGGUACGACCACUGGUAUGAGCAGUCACGCUUGCACUGUGCGUCGUCUUCUCUACUAGAUAGCUGGGUGCAGCUAGUUUUCCUCCCACAUUCUCGUCUCAUCGUAUAGAAAGUCUUAAUUAUGUCUAAUCAGCAUAUUUUUCACACCAAAAAUAGAUGUUUUACAUUUAGUGUUCAAAAUAUCACGGGAUUUUGAUGAAAUCAAGCAAAAGGGCAAUCACCCGUGAUAAAGUACAGAAAAUUACAUGGUUAUUGAGGCCAAGUUCUGACCCCAGGUGCGGUUGAGCCUCACCUGAUCUAGUCUUGUUCCUUUGGUGUGUUGUCGUGCUCGUGGAUGACUGCUUUGACGAUGCUACCAGUGUUUCCUUUUUGUCUUCAGAAUGUUGGUUAUGUCGUGGCCUGUUAUCUGUGUCGUAAGCACUGUGUAUCCGCCAUCUUAUUUUCUUGCUUGUUGUAAGUGUGCUCGAUGUAAUUACUGAUUGGUUAAUGACUUUGUUAAUUCAAGGUCGGUCUCUCCUUAAACUUUCGCUCUGAAAAAAAAGGAAAUUUUGACAAAGAGAGAAUGUCGGACAAGUAUUUAGGGAGCAAAUUUGAAGGACAUGAUUGGAUAACAUCGGACCGGCCGGAUGUCCGCCGGCAAUUGGCGGCGUCCGUUUGGUGAUCGCUGGGGAAAAUGAGCGUACUUGGUUGAUUCAGAUAUAGGAACUUCUCAUUACAAAAAAUCACACCGAUAUUACAAAGCUUGUAAAAAAACUGACCCAUCACCCGUACAUUUGCCUGACACACAUACUUAUCCCUCACAACUGUUAUUCUGAAUGAUAGAAGAUCAAGCUAACCCGUGACAUAAAUAGCAACGUCGCUCACUCACUGACAGCAACAAGCCAUGAAAUUUCACUGUUGUGUCGGACGGUGGCAGAUCGGAGUCAGUGGUGUCCGUGGUAUCCACCGCCACCACCACCGCCGUAGGUGGGCGUGGGAGGGACCGGGUGGUAGUCCGGGUGGGGAUGCGGCUUGGGCUCGGGCUUGGGCACAGGGUGGUAGUCAGGGUGGCGCUGGGGCUUGGGCUCCGGCUUGGGCGGCACGGGCUUCUUGUGAUGGAAGUGCUCGAUGAUGUGCUUCUUGAUCGGCCCGCACAGGGUCGUGGACGCGCACUCUGGUGAUGCCAGCGCGUUCGUCUUGGCACCGGCGAUGACACCGAAGGUGGUGCCCUCGGACACCGGCACGAUCUUGGAUGGCUCCUGGCCGGAGCACGGCGCGUUGGAGGCGGCGUUGUGGAGCUGCGCGACGCAGUCGGCGCCGUGGAGGUCGGCGGCCAGGGGCACGCUGAAGGCGCCGCUGCCGUCAAGGGCACCUACCGCCUUGCUCUCGUACUCGCCGUCGACGUUCUUGCACUUGAUCGCCACAUGGAGACCUGAGAUACGUUAACAGGAGGAGGAUAACCAUGAGCCGAUCUCCAUCUAUAUAGCAGAAAAAGCUUGUCCUUCAAAUAAAUAUAUCUAGCACCAAGUUAGUGCUAGAUACAUCCAUUUGAGAAAGUUUGGGACCAAGUUUUUUCGGACAGAGGCAGUACACGAUUGAGCUGCAUAUGUAGCUUACCCUUGAAGGCUUUCUCGGUCUUGAUGUUCUUCCUGGUGCAAUCAGCGCAGGCCAGUCCGACGACGACGGACGCCGCCUCGGCGUUGGCAACAGCAACCGCCAGCAUGACGGCGAGGACGAGUGCUCUCGGAGCUGCCAUGUCUGAACCUCUACCACUUGCUUGCCUGUGUUGGAAGGAUGAAUGGAACAGGCGACGCAUGGCUUAUAUAGGCCUCCGCAUUGAUCGGCACAGCUCGAUGGCGAUCUGGCUGCAUGCUCGAAGCUCGAAGGGUGGUGGGCGGCGAAGUGAUGCGUGACAACGAGAGGCUGGCUAACUCACCGAAAUUCUAGAUGGCGAGUUAAUAUAUACGGCGCCCGCUGCAUGAUCGGAUCGGUCGGUGCGUGUGCCUCCACGUCGCGGUUGGUGAUCGACUUAUUUUGGUGGUGGAGUAGCGUAGGUUGGCACCGGCUAAAAAUGCUAAACAUACAAAUAAGUAUACAAGUUUACAAACUCUUUCUAUCUACUAACCAAUCACAAACUUGCUCACCCCUCCCUCCCAACCCUUGAUUUUCAGGGGAUGGGCCGCCUCCCCACUUAGUGACCAAUCAAGUUAACCCUCUUUGUAAAACCUUGUAACUCAUUUGUACGUGUAGCAUUACUGGGCACCGGCCGCCUGUACAUGCAUUUGCUUGCGUGCGUGCAUGCAGCGUAAGUUCUCGUAGUAGUAUUCCCUCUGUUUUUUUAUAGUCUGCAUAUAAGAUCUGGCCAAAGUCAAACUUUGUAAAGUUUGACCAAAUUUAUUUGAAAAAAUAUCAACAUCUACAAUAUUAAAGCUAUAUGAUAUGAAAAUUAAUUUCAUGAUGCAUCUAACAAUAUUGAUUUCAUAUUGUGAGCCAUGGUAUAUUUUUCUAUAAACUUAGUUAAAGUUGAUAAAGUUUGACUUUGAUCAAAUCUUAUAUACAGACUAAAAGAAAACGAAGGGAGUGGUACCAAAAAUGCUACACCUACGUAAUGUUUGCUGGUGGUAAGCUGGUGUUGGAUCGACAUCACAGAAUUGCUGCAAAGUGAGUAGUGAGCUUGUGUGUGAACUGCAAAAACGGCUUACAUCAAGUUACAUAGGGACUAGAAUGUUACAUAUGAGCAGUUUCUAAUUAUGUUUAAUCGAAGAAAACAUGGAUAUAAGAUGAUCAAUAUAGUUAACAUGAUAUUCGAACAAGAGAAGUUUUUUUUUAAACACAUUAUAGACGCAGGCGGUAGUACAUACGCACAUACACUCGCUCAUAUAAAUAUGCACACAUGCACACCCUACCCCUAUGAGCACCUGAGAGACUGAGCCGGCACAUCAUCUUGAGUUUGACGCUAUCGUAGUUGACGGGACGUCUCGUCUCACUGAACGCACAUAGUCAGAUGACCUAAAAUAAAUUCAGAAAAAUGCGAGCACGUGUUAAGUCUAGGACUUGAACUCUGAUGGGCUGGGGAUACCACUAUUCUCAUAACCAUCCGACCACAAGUUGGUUCGCUCGAACAAGAGAAGUUGUUAAGCAAAAAAGACAUGCUAUUUGAUGUGUAUGGUAUACAUGGCAUGUCCAGAUCGAAUACUAAUAUAGUAAGGAACCGGAAGUAAUCGUUAAUGGAGGGGGAAAAUAAUGUAUGAUGUGGCAGAUGAAGAAGCGUUAGCAGUCAGCGCACCGCGAAUGGUGGAAAUGGCGUGGAGGGAUGGGGAGUCGUCGUCGGGGAAGUAGUCUUCGUUGUAUGCCUCAAUGUCGGUAGAGCUCUCCCUAAAAAUCCUGAUCUCCUCUCUCUCAUACAUGAUCACAAUAGAAGGUUCCGAAGUCCUAUUGUUCCACGUCAUGGUGCAUGAGGAAAAGUGGAAUGGGAAAGACGUAAGGGGCGCAAAGAUCUUGAACUGAAGGAUGUUCUCAUGCACGUUUCUAUGUAACCCCAUCUAUGGAUAGAGGAGCAAUCUCUAAUAGACUAACAACCGAAACCGGUCCACUAUGGAAGAGUUGGAGAUGAAGAGUCUACAAAUGUUCAGUUUAAUCCUUCUACUAGUGCAUAAUGUUUCGAAUCCUGUCACGCACGACAAGAGGAGUGACACACAUGUGACAUAGGUCAUAGUUCAGCUCGUUCACGAAACACAAAGCGCGUCAGGCGAGGUGAUGUCAUGCAAAUGCAUAGAGUUUAGUUGUAGCUGUUUUUGAAGUAAGAGUAUUGAUCGAUCCCACAAGAGCUGAGAAAAUGGUCUUUUGCCCCUUAUAGAGGUUUAUCCGAAUUUGCCUGCAAAUUAUUUUACGUCCCAAGCAAAAGCGGUGUGAAAGGUGAAAUAUUGCAAGAGUGUGUGUAUGUGUGAAAGCGAGAAUUAAAGUGCACACAAACAAUGACUAAGAAUAAGAGAGUAAUGAUAAUGAUGAAAACUCCAAUAGGGCCAAAAGGCAUUCUCAUAUAGUCUGUAUGUACCACAUGUAUUUAUUAUACUUAAUUGUGUAGAAACACAACCUUUGGUUCAAAUACUUGAUCCAUGUUAUAUAUGUAUUGCGCGGGGAGAGCCAAUAAAAGCUAUUGGCAUAUUACCGAUGUUCUAUAUCACGCACGUCAUCACCAUCCCUCCAAUGCAUAUCGGCAGAGUACGAUGGUGAUUAAGGGUCUCUCCGGGGAUGCGGAUUAAAACACUUGAGUAUUUGUUGUUUCCUUGCCAAUGAUUUGGUAAGGAGAGAGAUAGCUUCUAUCACUGUUGUACCUCUAACCCCUCAUCACAAAGAUAUAAUAUCCAUCAAAUCCUGAUGGGCUAAAUAUUGUGCAGUCGAUGUUGGCACAAUAUCAUGAAGAACAUUAACACAAUUAUAUAACAAAGAUUGCAUAUAUUAUUGUCAUUAGGAUCAUAUAAAUACUAGGGUUCCCCAUAUCCACAAGAAUUGGUAAAUUACUCAGGCAUAGAGGCACGAGACAUCGUCGAGGUGUCCAUGGCAAUGGAAGAUGAAUUAUUAAUGUAACACACGUAUAAAUCUAGACUAGGGUUUGGGAAUACAACAAGAUGAAUGAGGGAUAGUCAAUUUUGAGUAUGUGGAUGAUAUUGCUAAUGAUGAUGGCUGAUGUCAUGGCCUCGGUGGUCGAAGCUUUGGCGAGGUGGUGCCCUUCUACUAAUUCGCACUUCGGAUCCCUUCUGGGGAUGAGGUUUUCUACUUCUAUUUCAUGGUCUGUGAUAUCUCUGUUAGGCACGUCUGAGAUCCCAUUGCACGGGGUGGAAGUUGUCCACCGGGUGGAGGUGGCGCCGUGCGGUAUGAACAGUCGCGCUCGUAUUGUGCGUCGUCUUCUCUCCUAGAUAGCUGGUCGUGGCUAGUUUUCCUCCCACAUUCUCGUCUCUUCGUAUAGAAGUCUUUAUGACGUCUAAUCAGCAUAUUAUUCACACCAAAAAUAGAUGUUUUACAUUUAGUGGUCAAUAUCCUGGGAUCUUGAUGACAUCAAGCGAAAGGGAAAGCAACUGUGAUAAAGUGCAAAAAAUUAUGUGGUUAUUGAGGCCAAGUUCUCGCCCCAAGUGCGGUUGAGCCUCGCCCUUGAUCUAGCGUGUAAUGGUGGAUGACUGCUUCAACGAUGCUAGUGGUGUUUCUUUUCUACUCCCUCCGUUCCUAAAUAUUUGUCUUUCUAGAGAUUUUGACAAGUGACUACAUACGGAGCAAAAUGAGUGAAUCUACACUAAAAUAUGUCUAUAUACAUCAGUAUGUGGUAGUCCAUUUGAAAUCUUCAGAAAGACAAAUAUUUAGAAACGAGGGGAGUAUGAGAGUGCUGGUUAUGUCGUGACCUGUUAGCUAUGUGUAAGCACUGUGUAUCUGCCAUUUUAUUUUCUUGCUUGUUGUAAGUGUGGUCGAUGUAAUUGCUGACUGAUUAAUGGCUCCAGACUUUUCUUAAACCUUCAUUAAAAGAAGAGUAAAUUUGACAAAGAGAGAAUGUCGGACAAGUACUUAGUAGCAAAUUUGAAGGACAUGAUUGGAUGACGUCCGCCCGGCCGGAUGUCCGCGGACAUUUGGUGGCGUCCAUUUGGUGAUAGCCGGGAAAAAAGAGUGUACUCCCUCCGUCUAGAUGAGCAAGUCAUCUUAGAUUGUGCACCGUGACCAAGGAGGAGGAGAAAACGAGAGAACUUAAUGUUCAUUUGUUAAUUAAUAGCAUUGCAUGCAAUGAACUAAUCACUGCAUGUCGUGUUUGGUAAUCUCAAGUCAUUAAAAGCAUGCACACCCCACAUCUCUUAUUGGUUGAUAUGUCAAGAAACAAGAAACAAGGUAGAAUUUAAUGCACCGCGCCUAACUGUUUUGGGAUUAUUUGGUUUCGUAAGAUGACUUACACACCUAGACGGAGGGAGUACUUGGUUCAUUCAGAUAUAUAGCGACUUCCCAUUACAAAAAAUCACACCGAUAUUACAAACCUUGUAAAAAAACUGACCAUCACCCGUACAUUUGCCUGACACACAUACUUAUCCCUCACAACUCUUAUUCUGAAUGAUAGAAGAUCAAGCUAACCCCUGACAUAAAUAGCAACGUCGCUCACUGACAGCAACAAGCCAUGAAAUUUCACUGCUAGGCCGGAUGGUGGUAGAUCGGAGUCACUAGUGGUGUCCAUGGUAUCCACCACCGCCGCCGCCGCCGCCGUAGGUGGGCGUGGGAGGGACGGGGUGGUAGUCCGGGUGGGGCUGCGGCUUGGGCACGGGG